ensembl:lncRNA
CCAUCAUUUGCCCAUGGUAGUAACAACAUCUGAGCAGUUCUAACAGCUUUCGUACGUUGCCUGCGUUCCCCAGCUUCCCACAGUUCCUGCCUGGCCUGCUUUAAUGUGUAUACAUAAACUGCCUGGACUCCACUGGCAGCUCUUGAGUGCGUAACCCCUGCUAGAACAACUCGUUAAUUUUACAGAUAAGGAAAUGACACCUGGAGCACCCAAGAGAGUGGCCCAUCCAUACCACUUUUUCUAAUAUAUUCUUUUCUUUUGUCAGUUUAAUUUCCUGGGUCCCAGUUGGAAAACCUAGGAUGGAGGAGGGAAAAAUCUUCAACACCUAGAGUUUUGGCAACCGCUGUGCGACAGCUGGGACACCCCACUUGCUCCAGAGGCUGAAGUGGAAAUCUGGUACCCCUGGCAAAAGCCUCCUCCACCCUGAACUUCUGUCCAAAGCAACAGAACCAAGUGACCAUGGACUAAAACCUGAAACUGUGAGCAAUUUGUUUAUCUCAGGUGUUUUAUUACAACAAUGGAAAGCUGACUUCCAUAGGUUUAUUUCUGCUUCGGUUCUACAAUUAU